UAAACAUUUCUCAAAAAUCUUUGGCAACGCAAGCUUACUGGCCUCCUCCCUCAUUUCCUUCUACCUCUUCCUACGUGCUUCCCUAAGCACCAGAGGCUAAUCAGUGCGUGAGGCU